rnacentral:rRNA from 1 species
GACAGAGGGUGCAAACGUUGUUCGGAAUUACUGGGCGUAAAGCGAGUGUAGGCGGUUUGGUAAGUCGGAUGUGAAAGCCCUGGGCUCAACCCAGGAAGUGCAUUCGAUACUGUCAAGCUAGAGUAUCGGAGAGGUUGGUGGAAUUCUCGGUGUAGAGGUGAAAUUCGUAGAUAUCGAGAGGAACACCGGUGGCGAAGGCGGCAUCCUGGACCAGCACUGACGCUCAUGCACGAAAGCGUGGGGAGCAAACAGG